GCUGGGCGUGGUGGCUCACGCCUGUAAUCCCAGUACUUUGGGAGGCUGAGGCGGGAGGAUCACUUGAGGUCAGGAGUCCGAGACCGGCCUGACCAACAUAAUGAAACCCUGUCUCUA
rnacentral:SRP_RNA from 2 species